AUGUCUGGGGAUCUGCCCGGUAGAGGGGGAUAACCACUGGAAACGGUGGCUAAUACCGCAUAACGUCGCAAGACCAAAGAGGGGGACCUUCGGGCCUCUCACUAUCGGAUGAACCCAGAUGGGAUUAGCUAGUAGGUGGGGUAACGGCUCACCUAGGCGACGAUCCCUAGCUGGUCUGAGAGGAUGACCAGCCACACUGGAACUGAGACACGGUCCAGACUCCUACGGGAGGCAGCAGUGGGGAAUAUUGCACAAUGGGCGCAAGCCUGAUGCAGCCAUGCCGCGUGUAUGAAGAAGGCCUUCGGGUUGUAAAGUACUUUCAGCGGGGAGGAAGGGAU
rnacentral:rRNA from 1 species